AGCCAGCCAUGACUGUAAGACCUGGUCAAACCGUACAAACCAGACAGCAGGUCUCACCCCUCCCCAGAGAGCUCCAGAGAAUAUCAAAGAGUGAAACAGCAGAGGGAUGGUCUGGGUGGGGUCAUCGUGGCUGGCAAGGGUCUGUGACAGCACCUUGUUAGGCUACUCCCAAGAGGAAAUUUGGAGAGAGGGUGGGAGGGCAGCUCUCAGUGCAAGCUAAGUCUCCUGGAAAGUAACUUCCAAACUUUGGAGGAUUGUGAGCAAGAUGGGACCAACUUCUACCUAAAAGCAACUUCUACCUAAAAGAAUGUUAAUAGCAAGAUAACUCAUCCUAAUGUUGGUCCAAGCUAGGUCUUUAUUAUGCAUCCUAAAGGCUCUGAGAAUAACAAUGUAACCUCCAAAAGGGCUGCGGGCUUUGAGGAAUCUCAGGCAACUUGCUUCCUUCUGCUCAGUGACUCCCAUGGAGCACAGGAAAGCAAGGAAACACUUAGAGCCAAGCUUGAGUUCUGAAUUUCAAAUACAGGGAGUCCAUCUCUUUCUACCCAAUUGUUCCCUAGAUGAGUAACUAACUCCUUCCCCUUAACUGCACGUACUUCCUACCAAAGCACAAGAGGGUGGGCUGUCCAUGAGCCUCCCCAAAAUAUGUGCACCUUGUGACAUAAAUUCUGUCACCCAAAGAGACCAGUCAAAAUGCAAAACCAAAGUGGAGCCUUUCCUUGAAUUAUAGGUUCUAAAGAGUUUUGGACCCUCUACAAAACCCAAGAGUUAGGAAUUGCCUGUAAGAAGCACCAGCCCUUGUUUUAAAGAGGGAAUUUAAGAAUAAUAGCCAUGCUGAUGCCACACUACGCUAAGGGAGAAUAAUGAACCUAAUAAAACUAGCGAUUUUCCAAUUGCU
ensembl:lncRNA novel transcript